rnacentral:lncRNA from 1 species
UUCCUUCCGCUGUGAAAAUUACUUGCUCCAACCAAAGACAUCAAUAUGUAGUACUCAAGAAAAUUUCAUGCCUCUGGUUUGCUAAUAAUAUUAUUAGUCUUAAUAUAUACUCAUUUAGUCAUGUUCUUUUAUUUAUAAAAUAUGUUUCAUUUAGGAACUAAAGAAAAUAAUUUUCAUGAAAAGUAACUUCCAUCAUACCAGAGUUGGAGUAAUUGCAAAGGCAUUGAGUCACUAUGUAAUCAGCAAGUCUUUCGUCUUUAAAUUAGUUGACCAGGAUCGGUGAGCGAUCAAGAUUACCCAUGAUUAGGUUGGUGACCUCCAUUACAUUUAGGACUUAGGAGGAUACCAUAUCCAAGUGGUCGAAUCUGCCUCAUAAUUUGCGAUAACAAGGGGUUGUAUUUGUAUG